UACAGAGGUCUCAACCGUUGUUCGGAUUCAUUGGGCGUAAAGGGUGCGUAGGCGGUCGGGUAAGUCGGAUGUGAAAUCCCAGGGCUCAACCCUGGAACUGCAUUCGAUACUGCCUGGCUAGGGUACUGGAGGGGAGAACGGAAUUCCUGGUGUAGCGGUGAAAUGCGCAGAUAUCAGGAGGAACACCGGUGGCGAAGGCGGUUCUCUGGGCAUGGUCUGACGCUGAGGAGCGAAAGUGUGGGGAGCGAACAGG
rnacentral:rRNA from 1 species